GCUUGGAUGGCUCAGUUGGUUAGAGCGCAGGUCUCAUACGUUCUGUAUGACUGUGAUUUACGCAGUAAUCCUGAGGUCGUGAGUUCGAUCCUCACUCCGAGCA